GGAUUGUGGUUCAGUGGCAGAGCACUUGCCUUGCAUGUCUGCGGCACUGGGUUCAAUCCUCAGCAUCA
rnacentral:tRNA from 1 species